rnacentral:snRNA from 1 species
GUGCAGUUAGCUUGGGCAGCACAUGUACUAAAACAGGAAGAAUACAGAAAAGAUUAGCAUGGCCCCUGGGCAAGGAAUACAUGCAUAUCCGUGCAGCGUGAUUUUUUUAA